rnacentral:lncRNA from 1 species
UAAAUAAAUAAAUAAAUAUUUUUUAAAAGAGCCCAGGCGAUUCUAUAGUAACACACAAACAAGGCUGCAAAUCCUGGACUGGCCGCUUCACAUCCCUUUCUUAGCACAGGUGCCUUCUCUUCCUAGUUAGUGCUAUUUGCAUGAAGCAUUUCCAGGUGACUUUCAACUUCCCUAUAUUCAAACGUCCUGCCAUCCGCUCUUUUGCAUAAUAAAAGUACAUAUGCCACACUGAGUAUUGUUCUGUGUAAAGCUGAUGGUGCUGUUCACAUCAGAAAUUGCAGCACUGAAGAACAGAGUUCAUGCAGACUUUUACAACAUGCAUCAGCUACAGCAUUUGUUUGUUGAUGGUACCAGCUGUCAAAAACCAAGCAAGUGGCAGUGCUAGAGGUGCCACAAAAGUGCGAAGGAAGUGUCAGGCUGGAUGUCAAAAUGAACACCUUGGAGAACUGGAUGAUGGAACAGACGGUAAAAAUCAGCUAAACAUCAGAGAAAAUGGAGGAAGAGGUCAAAACUGUGAACAGGAACUAGAAGAAAGUGUAGCAGAAAAAGACUUGUCACAAACUUCGAGAGAUUUGGAGAAAAUGAUGUCAAAACACAUCUUCCUCAAGCCCAUGCUGAGUAUCUCUGAUUUGGUUAAUUUCUUGAUUGUCCCAAAUUUGGCCAAUGAAAAAGUCCUUCAAGGCCAGGUGUGGUAGCUCAUGCCUAUAAUCCCAGCAUUUUGGGAGGCUGAGGCAGAUGGAUCACCA